rnacentral:sRNA from 2 species
GCGGAGGAAAAGAAACCAACAGGGAUUGCCCUAGUAACGGCGAGUGAAGCGGCAACAGCUCAAAUUUGAAAUCUGGCGUCUUCGGCGUCCGAGUUGUAAUUUGCAGAGGGCGCUUUGGCAUUGGCAGCGGUCCAAGUUCCUUGGAACAGGACGUCACAGAGGGUGAGAAUCCCGUACGUGGUCGCUAGCCUUUACCGUGUAAAGCCCCUUCGACGAGUCGAGUUGUUUGGGAAUGCAGCUCUAAAUGGGAGGUAAAUUUCUUCUAAAGCUAAAUACUGGCCAGAGACCGAUAGCGCACAAGUAGAGUGAUCGAAAGAUGAAAAGCACUUUGGAAAGAGAGUUAAAAAGCACGUGAAAUUGUUGAAAGGGAAGCGCUUGCAGCCAGACUUGCCUGUAGUUGCUCAUCCGGGUUUCUACCCGGUGCACUCUUCUACGGGCAGGCCAGCAUCAGUUUGGGCGGUUGGAUAAAGGUCUCUGUCAUGUACCUCUCUUCGGGGAGAACUUAUAGGGGAGACGACAUGCAACCAGCCUGGACUGAGGUCCGCGCAUCUGCUAGGAUGCUGGCGUAAUGGCUGUAAGCGGCCCGUCUUGAAACACGGACCAAGGAGUCUAACAUCUAUGCGAGUGUUUGGGUGUCAAGCCCGAGCGCGUAAUGAAAGUGAACGGAGGUGGGAACCUUUCGGGGUGCACCAUCGACCGAUCCUGAUGUCUUCGGAUGGAUUUGAGUAAGAGCAUAGCUGUUGGGACCCGAAAGAUGGUGAACUAUGCUUGAAUAGGGUGAAGCCAGAGGAAACUCUGGUGGAGGCUCGCAGCGGUUCUGACGUGCAAAUCGAUCGUCAAAUUUGGGCAUAGGGGCGAAAGACUAAUCGAACUAUCUAGUAGCUGGU